rnacentral:misc_RNA from 1 species
AAAAAAAAAAUACUAGCCAUAUGAGCUCGAGAAAGAGAUGAGACAGAGAAAGAUACAAGCAUAAAUGCGUAAUGUUUCCCUGACCUUUCUGUCAAGUUAAGGCUUAUAUACGUGGCUUUAAUUCUUGGUCUUAAUAGAACAUAUAAUGAGUGGUUCAUUAAUUAAGUUGUGAAUAAUUAAUAAUAAAUCUUGGAUUUUUCUUUUCCUCAAAAAAAAGGGAAGGGAAAAAAAUGAUUUUACUUACCUUAACAGGCCCAGAG